AGUUUGUGACGCGGGCUAAGUCAUGUGACGCGAGCUAAGUCAUGUGACGCGGGCUAAGUCAUGUGACGCGGGCUAAGUCAUGUGACGCGAGCUAAGUCAUGUGACGCGGGCUAAGUCAUGUGACGCGGGCUAAGUCAUGUGACGCGGGCUAAGUCAUGUGACGCGGGCUAAGUCAUGUCUACUGUUUUUCUAGAUCAGUGUUUCCCAACUCCUCCUGUUCCCCCAACAGAACACAUUCUAAACCAGUGUUUCCCAACUCCUCCUUGUUUCCCAACAGAACACAUUCUAAACCAGUGUUUCCCAACUCCUCCUGUUCCCCCAACAGAACACAUUCUAAACCAGUGUUUCCCAACUCCUCCAACAGAACACAUUCUAAACCAGUGUUUCCCAACAGAACACAUUCUAAACCAGUGUUUCCCAACUCCCCCAACAGAACACAUUCUAAACCCGUGUUUCCCAACUCCUCCAACAGAACACAUUCUAAACCAGUGUUUCCCAACUCCUCCAUGUUUCCCAACAGAACACAUUCUAAACCAGUGUUUCCCAACUCCUCCUGUUCCCCCAACAGAACACAUUCUAAACCAGUGUUUCCCAACUCCUCCAACAGAACACAUUCUAAACCAGUGUUUCCCAACUCCCCCAACAGAACACAUUCUAAACCAGUGUUUCCCAACUCCUCCUGUUCCCCCAACAGAACACAUUCUAAACCAGUGUUUCCCAACUCCCCCAACAGAACACAUUCUAAACCAGUGUUUCCCAACUCCCCCAACAGAACACAUUCUAAACCAGUGUUUCCCAACUCCCCCAACAGAACACAUUCUAAACCAGUGUUUCCCAACUCC
ensembl:lncRNA